rnacentral:tRNA from 1 species
AGGAGUUUAGGUUAAAUUAGACCAAGGACCUUCAAAGCCCUAAGCAAGUUAUACAAACUUAACUCCUG